GGAGGAACUGUAGCUCAGGGAUAGAGCAUCUGCUUUGCAUGCAGAAGGACUCGGUUCAAUCCCCAGCAUCUCUA